GACGAACGCUGGCGGCGUGCCUAAUACAUGCAAGUCGAGCGAGCUUGCCUAGAUGAAUUUGGUGCUUGCACCAAAUGAAACUAGAUACAAGCGAGCGGCGGACGGGUGAGUAACACGUGGGUAACCUGCCCAAGAGACUGGGAUAACACCUGGAAACAGAUGCUAAUACCGGAUAACAACACUAGACGCAUGUCUAGAGUUUAAAAGAUGGUUCUGCUAUCACUCUUGGAUGGACCUGCGGUGCAUUAGCUAGUUGGUAAGGUAACGGCUUACCAAGGCAAUGAUGCAUAGCCGAGUUGAGAGACUGAUCGGCCACAUUGGGACUGAGACACGGCCCAAACUCCUAUGGGAGGCAGCAGUAGGGAAUCUUCCACAAUGGACGCAAGUCUGAUGGAGCAACGCCGCGUGAGUGAAGAAGGGUUUCGGCUCGUAAAGCUCUGUUGGUAGUGAAGAAAGAUAGAGGUAGUAACUGGCCUUUAUUUGACGGUAAUUACUUAGAAAGUCACGCUAACUACC
rnacentral:rRNA from 1 species